rnacentral:rRNA from 1 species
AUUGAACGCUGGCGGCAGGCCUAAUACAUGCAAGUAGGACGCAGUUGCGAACGUGUGAGUAACGCGUAGGUAACUACCUAUUAGAGGGGGAUAACUAUUGUAAACGAUAGCUAAUACCGCAUACUAGUAGAUGGACCUGCUGUGUAUUAGCUAGUAGGUAGGGUAAUGGCGUACCUAGGCAACGAUACAUAGCCGACCUGAGAGGGUGAUCGGCCACACGUGGACGUAGACACGGCCCAGACUCCUACGGGAGGCAGCAGUAGGGAAUCUUCGGAAAUGGGGGGAACCCUGGCCGAGCAACGCCGCGUGAGUGAAGAAGGUUUUCGGAUCGUAAAGCUCUGUUGUUAAGGAAGCGGUACUUAACCAGAAAGGGACGGCUAACUACGUGCCAGCAGCCGCGGUAAUAC